UACGUAGGGCGCAAGCGUUGUCCGGAAUUAUUGGGCGUAAAGAGCUCGUAGGUGGUGUGUCGCGUCUGCCGUGAAAGCCCGGGGCUUAACUCCGGGUCUGCGGUGGAUACGGGCAGACUAGAGGCAGGUAGGGGAGAACGGAAUUCCCGGUGUAGCGGUGAAAUGCGCAGAUAUCGGGAGGAACACCGGUGGCGAAGGCGGUUCUCUGGGCCUGUACUGACGCUCAGGCACGAAAGCGUGGGGAGCAAACAGG
rnacentral:rRNA from 1 species